GCCGGGGUGGCUUAGCUGGAGGAGCGCCGGACUCAUAAGGUAAUCUGAGAAAUCCGGAGGUCUCGGGUUCGAUCCCCGAUCCCGGCA
rnacentral:tRNA from 1 species